UCGCAUUUGGGAUGAUAAGCGAAUGGUUUUCAGUUUUACAAGGAAAUCUAACAACUAAAUGUCUUCUAUUCAGGGACCAGAAACAAACCUUUUGAAACGUUUGAAAAAAACUAUUGAAUAAUAGUAAACUAUUGAUUAAUAGUCAACUAUGGAAUAAUAGUUUUGAACAGGAAAAACUGUCAUCAGUCAUAUCUGAGGACACACCGUGACCAAAGACCAACAGCAGCAGCCCUCUUAGCGCCUUCAUAUCGAUGUAUUCAGAAGAACACCUCGAUGAGAUUAUCCACAGAGACGUGACUCCGACUCCAACAUCAGACAGACUGAUGCUCACACACUGCUACAGCGACCAAGUUUCAUGUAACCCUUAAUGAAUUGUUCUUACAAUAUUAUGUUCAGCUGGCUUUAAUAUAUAUUCAGCAUUACAUCAUUAUCAAAAAUUUUCAGCUAUACAUAAUGUUCACUUAUACAUAACGUUCAGAAAGAUGUAACGUUCAAUUAUAUAUAAUGUUCAGCAUAUUUUUUAGCUAUAUCUAAUCUUCAUCCAUAUAUAUGUUUAGAUAUAUACCGUUCAGCUAAAUGUGUUGAUAUGUGCGUUUAUGAAUGUGUGUGUGUGUGUGUGUGUGUUAGUGUGUGUGUGUGUGUGUGUGUGUUUUAUGUGUGUGUGUGUGUGUGCGUGUGUGUGUGCGUGCGUGUGCGUGCGUGUGCGUGUGUGUGUGUUUUGUCUUUCAGCAUAAGACUUCACUAAAUGAAAGGACCAAACCUAUAAACAGUAUAUUGAGAAUAUUUUCAGAUUUUUUGGGGGAUUAUAUUGACCAAAUAACCCCAAACAAGAGUACAGCGAUUUUUACAUUUGGAUGAUUAAAAACAUUAAUAUUUAAUCCAAUUCCGAUUUUUUGUAAAAAUACAAAAAAAUAUUCAUGCUAGAGCAGCCUAGCUCGAUUGUGCUAGUUUAUGUUGCGAGGUCGUGUUGCCAUGGUUUCCAAGCAUCAGUGAAAGAUUACAGGUUUAAGCCAGUGAGUUAAUCAAAUCUAUCACAAAUACAGUGAUCUAAUUGAUUUACAAUUUUUACGGAUAAAUGGUUGUUAUCAAGAUAAAGUUAAGUAUGAAUGUAAUUGUUAUUAAGCAAAUAGGCUAUAGCAUCAUUAGUUAGCUGAAGUCCCAAGCCUGUUUGUAAGGAUUAUAAACGAACUGCGAUCCACUGCAUCCUGGUUUAGGAAGCUGAACGUGAGAAGCCUCUU
ensembl:lncRNA